AUUGAACGCUGGCGGCAUGCCUUACACAUGCAAGUCGAACGGCAGCACGGGAGCAAUCCUGGUGGCGAGUGGCGAACGGGUGAGUAAAGUAUCGGAACGUGCCCAGUCGGGGGGGAUAACGUAGCGAAAGUUACGCUAAUACCGCAUACGAUCUAUGGAUGAAAGCGGGGGAUCGCAAGACAUCGCGCGAUUGGAGCGGCCGAUAUCGGAUUAGGUAGUCGGGGGGGUAAGGGCUCACAAAGCCGACGAUCUGUAGCUGGUCUGAGAGGACGACCAGCCACACGGGGACUGCGACACGGCCCAGACUCCUACGGGAGGCAGCAGUGGGGAAUUUUGGACAAUGGGCGAAAGCCUGAUCCAGCCAUGCCGCGUGCAGGAUGAAGGCCUUCGGGUUGUAAGCUGCUUUUGUACGGAACGAAAAGGUUUGGCCUAAUAAGCUGAGCUCAUGACGGUACCGUAAGAAUAAGCACCGGCUAACUACGUGCCAGCCGCCGCAGUAA
rnacentral:rRNA from 1 species